AAUUCUCUUGGUGUGGCGCAUACUAAACCUAUGAAUUUGUAUUGUGAUAAUCAGGCAGCUCUGCAUAUAGCUGCUAAUCCUGUCUAUCAUGAACGUACCAAGCAUAUUGAAGUGAACUGUCAUUUUAUCCGUGAUGAGAUAUUGAAUGGUAACAUUCGAACAGAUUAUGUACGUAGUUCAAUGCAACCUGCGGAUAUCUUCACAAAGGCGUUGGGAAAGGAUUAGUUUGACUUUCUUCUUCGCAAGUUGGGCAUUCAAGAUCUCCAUGCUCCAACUUGAGGGGGGGUAUUAGAAAGGCAGCUGUUAGCCGUCACUUAUUUUUCAUUUAUUUAG
rnacentral:misc_RNA from 1 species